UGGGGGUGUCCAUGUUCUGCUGUGGCCCUCUGCACCCAGUGGGGCCCUGGACUCAGGCCCGGCAAGGAUUGGGGUCCAGCAUGCUCACCUGGGGUGUUCUGAGGCAGGGCAUGGCAGCAGCCAUCCUUACCCAGGGCUGGCAGCACCGUAAUUGUUUGGAGGGUGACUCGCGGGGGACAGGCCUUUUGCCCACCUCCAGUCCAGGUACUGAGCAAGUCCCAGUGCUGAGGUUGCAAUCCUUUCGGGGCCCACCGUCAGCUGCGGGGUCUACGGCUGGAGAGAGGGAGUCUGAGUGCCUGUGAAGACCUGCACUUACCCUAGUUGCACUGCUUGCUGUUCCUGGGUUGGAAGAUGGGGGCUCUGGAGACUCUGGCUGGCUGGCCAGCCCGCCAGCGGAGAAGGGCUGUUUACCAUAUGGAUGGCAGUGUGGAGCAGCCUGCCCCAGGGUGCAUUCAUCUCAGCUUUAUUGAAAGCCAUUUCCUGAAGGAUGAGAUGUGUUCCAAGCAAACAAGGAAGUGAAAAAACAAACAUGCAACCAUGGGAUCAAGAAAACAGAAUCCAACAUAGAAGGGUUGUGAAAGGGAAGUCCUGGGAUGAAGCUGCAUCAUAGUCUGGAGAGGGGCCAGUCUAGCCCGGAGCAGGAGGACCCAGACAGAGGAUUUAUUUCCAAUAAAAUAUGGAAUUGAUACAUUAACCAUUUGAGUAGUUUUAUAGUUCAGACAGAGAAUUUGGGGGUGAAUAAAUGGACAGGGCCUUCAAAGAUAGAACAAACCAAAAUCCGAGUUAAUUAUUAACUCCAGGGAAAAUGAACAAUUGCACAAGAAAGGAAAUAUAAAUGAUGUGGUUCAGCCAUCAACAAGAUUUAUGUGGUCCCAUUAAUAUAAAAAUGAAUAGAGAAUAUAAUCACUUUGGGAAUGAGGGAGGGAAAUGGUGUGUGAGUGGAGGGCAUAAAAGAAAUCAUUCCUCAUUUUCUGUAGUAAGAAAUCAAUAGAUAAUGUGUCAAAUGAAAAGGUCAAGAAAAGUAGUAGAAACAUCUAAUUUGGGAUUUACAAAGAAAACAUGAGAAAAAUGUUUCAAAGAAUUGAAGGUAGUGUCUCUGAGACAUGGUAGCUUUGGAGUGGGUAAGGAUAAGCAGAGGAUGUGUUUUUCAUAAACAGGGUUUGUUGGAAGAGUCUCAGUUUAUUCUUGUUAG